rnacentral:rRNA from 1 species
UACGUAGGCGGCCUAUUAAGUCAGAUGUGAAAGCCCCGGGCUUAACCUGGGAACUGCAUUUGAAACUGGUAGGCUAGAGUCUGAUAGAGGGAAGUGGAAUUCCGGGUGUAGCGGUGAAAUGCGUAGAUAUCCGGAGGAACAUCAGUGGCGAAGGCGGCUUCCUGGAUCAAGACUGACGCUGAGGUACGAAAGCGUGGGGAGCAAACAGGAUUAGAUACCCUGGUAGUCC